CCUACGGGCGGCAGCAGUGGGGAAUAUUGGACAAUGGGGGGAACCCUGAUCCAGCCAUGCCGCGUGUGUGAAGAAGGCCCUCGGGUUGUAAAGCACUUUCAGUGAGGAAGAACGCCUGGUGGUUAAUACCCAUCAGGAAAGACAUCACUCACAGAAGAAGCACCGGCUAACUCCGUGCCAGCAGCCGCGGUAAUACGGAGGGUGCGAGCGUUAAUCGGAAUUACUGGGCGUAAAGCGCGCGUAGGUGGCUUGAUAAGCCGGUUGUGAAAGCCCCGGGCUCAACCUGGGAACGGCAUCCGGAACUGUCAAGCUAGAGUGCAGGAGAGGAAGGUAGAAUUCCCGGUGUAGCGGUGAAAUGCGUAGAGAUCGGGAGGAAUACCAGUGGCGAAGGCGGCCUUCUGGACUGACACUGACACUGAGGUGCGAUAGCGUGGGUAGCAAACAGGAUUAGAUACCCCAGUAGUC
rnacentral:rRNA from 1 species